GGCCUCGUGGCCUAAUGGCAUGGCGUUAGAUUUCGGUCAUAUCCCCCCCACCUCUUUGUGAUUGUUCAAGAUAAACAUUCACGAAAACAACAAGGGUUAAAAUUUGACUUCUCUAAAGAUUGUCGGUUCGAAUCCGGCCGAGGUCG